UACGAAGGGGGCUAGCGUUGUUCGGAAUCACUGGGCGUAAAGCGCACGUAGGCGGAUGUGCCAGUCAGGGGUGAAAUCCCGGAGCUCAACUUCGGAACUGCCUCUGAUACAGCACGUCUUGAGUCCGGAAGAGGUGGGUGGAAUUCCUAGUGUAGAGGUGAAAUUCGUAGAUAUUAGGAAGAACACCGAUGGCGAAGGCGGCCCACUGGUCCGGUACUGACGCUGAGGUGCGAAAGCGUGGGGAGCAAACAGG
rnacentral:rRNA from 1 species